UACGUAGGUGACAAGCGUUGUCCGGAUUUACUGGGCGUAAAGAGCGCGCAGGCGGUCGUUCAAGUCGAGUGUGAAAGCCCCCGGCUCAACUGGGGAGGGUCAUUCGAUACUGAUCGACUGGAAGGCAGGAGAGGGUAGUGGAAUUCCCGGUGUAGUGGUGAAAUGCGUAGAUAUCGGGAGGAACACCAGUGGCGAAGGCGACUACCUGGCCUGUUCUUGACGCUGAGGCGCGAAAGCUAGGGGAGCAAACGGG
rnacentral:rRNA from 1 species